rnacentral:rRNA from 1 species
UACGUAGGGUCCGAGCGUUGUCCGGAAUUAUUGGGCGUAAAGAGCUUGUAGGCGGUUUGUCGCGUCUGCUGUGAAAAUCCGGGGCUCAACCCCGGGCUUGCAGUGGGUACGGGCAGACUAGAGUGUGGUAGGGGAGACUGGAAUUCCUGGUGUAGCGGUGAAAUGCGCAGAUAUCAGGAGGAACACCGAUGGCGAAGGCAGGUCUCUGGGCCACUACUGACGCUGAGAAGCGAAAGCAUGGGGAGCGAACAGG